UGAUAUACAGUGCCUAGUUGCUCUCGUGGAAGGUUUUUAUUUUAUUUAUUUUUAAAAGAUUUUAUUUAUUGACACAGAGAGAGAGGCAGAGACACAGGCAGAGGGAGAGGGAGAAGCAGGCUCCAUGCAGGGAGCCCGAUGUGGGACUUAAUCCCGGGUCUCCAGGAUCACACCCCAGGCUGCAGGCAGCGCCAAACAGCUGAGCCACCUGGGUUUUUAAAGUCAACAAUGUUUUUUUUAACAUUGUUUGUUUAACAGUGUUUUUUAACAAUGUUAAAAACAAGGUUUUUAAAGUCAACAAUAACUUCUAAGUGUCAAACUCAGUGAUUUUAUCUUAUUCCUCUUUCUCCUUUGCAGCACCUGAAUCUACUGACCUCUAUCCCUGAACCCUUCUUCUUCCAAACUUUCUCUAAAUGACAGUUAUGGUUUUCCUUUCUUUCAGGCCACGCCCUUUCCCUCCUUUAACCUCCUAAAUUUGUGCAUGUCCCAAGGCUUAGUCUUUAGCCUUUACUUUUCUUAGGGGGUUCUCAGUGGGGUUCCCUCACUUUUGUUUGUCUGAUUUUGGAUGCCCAGUCCUCUCCUGAGCUCUGAUCUCUUCUGGGUUUUGCUUUCUUCUAAGACUGGUCCUUGCCUCUUGUCACCAGGCUUGCUUCAGGCCUAUCUCUGUUCACAAACUUAUCUUAGUACAAACAUAUCUUAGUACACUCACAUAUGUAUGCACUCUGUUCUUUGAGAUUCUAGAUAUAGGUGGAGUUUCAUUUGGGCCUAGUUUUCUAGUUGUCUGAUAUAAAAAUAACAUGGUUCUGUUUUGAAAGAAUACAGCCUGAGGUACAAUCAUGAAGUAAACUGGCCCACUUCACUCAUUUAUGGGCUCCAUAAGAAACUUCUAUUCAAAUAUUUAUGGAGUGGCUGUAUGCUUGGAACAUAUACAUUGUAAGAUUCAAUUCUGCCUUUGAUUAACUUGAAUUUUCUAACAUUAGUGGCCUGUAAUUUAAGUUUGAUCCUGAUAAUAAGAUAAUAGAUGGAAGUGAAAGGUUUUCAAAUGCACUACCAAGUCAAGUCCCUCUUCACAACCCAAAAUUUAGGAUGCUACCCUGCCCUUCCAACAUGAAAUCAAAAUAGGACUCUUCUCAACAGAGCCCAGGCUCCCAUCCAAAGGUUUUUUAAAGCACAAUAAGGAAUCCCUUUUCCCUAUCUCACCAAGUCAGCCAUCCCUCACCAGUCCUCAGCAGGAUCCAGGGGCUGGGGAGAAAAAGGACAGAGUCGGUGGGUGGAUAUUACCCCCCAGUAUGUGUACUCUUCGUUGUAAAGGGAGAUUGCCUAUUUGUGUACAUAUAUCAUAGCAAAUUGUGUCUGACUUCUGGGUGUGAGGGCAAGGAAGGGAAGAGGUCGUUUGUAUUAUGCAAGAAGGGGAGAGGAUAUAUAUAUAUAUUUUUACAUACGUGCUAUAUAAAUGUUUGUUUAUACAAAGGUCUCAUGGAAAGAUAUGAGGGAAACUGCAAUAAUUGGUGGUGAAGAACUGAGAGGGACACUUACUUUUCAUUGGGCUUGUGCACAUGUAUUCUCUAUUUAAACAUAAACAACUCAAUUUUUAAAAAUUCAUGAAAGGGAAAAAAAAUCGCAAGGUCACGGGGGCGCUGUUUUGCUGCUGCAGAAUGACUGGGACACUGAUUUCCAAUUUCUUCGAGAAAGGAUUAGAACUGCUGUGAAACUGAAUUCGGAGCCUUAAGUGCGAAUUACUGGAGGUGGCGAUCUGAGGGGCGGCUCACUCUUCAAGGUAGAAAGACGCGGCGGUUCAUUUCGAGAAAAUGAAUUGUGAUCUCUGCAAAAUAUUAUCCGUGGCAAGACGAAAGGUUAAGAAAAAGGCGGGCCCCCUUGCCGUGCCAUUGUUCCCACAAUGCCGUGACUCGGAUUCGAACCGAGGUUGCUGCGGCCACAACGCAGAGUACUAACCACUAUACGAUCACGGCGAGCUACCGGGGACCUGCGGGGCUGGCCUUCUGAUUGUCCUCUUCAAUAGUCAUAGGCGUUCGCAGGCUGCACGUCACCGAGGGACCCACCUAUGGGGCGGAGCUCCGGCCGAACGCUAAGUCCGGGAGUGCGCAGGCGCGUUGCGCCCCAGCGCGUCGCUCGGGUUCUCAGGCGUUGGCCCCUUAGCCACCGGAACACACCCGCUGAGGAAGGGUGGGCUCCUUGUGAAUGAGGUGGGAGUUUAGGGGGGACCACUUGGGCGUGCAGGGACGGGACUGGCCGGAUCUCUGUUCACAGGUUGUGUAACUCGCAUUCCUAGGAAGAUGCCCAUCUCCUCCGCCUGGGAGGUCUUUGCGGCGGGCGACCCGGGGCGUGAAGGCGGCGCUCCUAAGGGGUUCCCGUCCCCGCUGAUUCCCCGAGGAGUGACCCAGCAUCUCCUCCGCGGUGGUUGUGGCCGCCCAGCCCCCCUCCCCAGCACUAGUUAGCCACGCAGAAAGGGCUCAGUGAACGCAUCUCCCCCGUGCCCGUCCGCUCCCCAUCAACCUCCCUGCAGCUUCUCUCCGGGCCGGACGGCCCUGACAGCCCUGAGUGCUCCCUCUCGGUACUCCCGCCGGACCCGGUGCCCACCUCCGCUGUGCCCCGGGCGGCAGCGGGCACCACCAGUCCGGUUUUUCUUCUUGUCCGCCAGGGCUCCCGCCCCGCGGCGCCUAGAACCAGGCCGAGUCCCCAGCAGGCGGAGGCUUUUUGCUCAACUGAGAACGUGCCGCUGGUUCUAACAAGAGAAUCCACCGCGACCACCUGUCUGCUCUAAUCAUCACCCCCGUCCCCUGCAGAGUCACCGGAGGGAGGUUUCUAAACACUAGUCGUAUCCUUUCACUCCUCCACCCCUCACCUCCACCCACAGAUGCAGGAAAUUCGUCCACCUUUUCCAGCUCAUCCCUCGGCGAUGUUUCUCAUUCCUGAAUUACUUGCAUGCAUCCAUCCACUCACUCACUCACUCAACAGGUCCUUUCGAGGUGGGGAAGGGGGUUGGAUUUUUAAAGAGGAAUUGCCAGUAGUUCCUUUUUGAGACCUCCUUCAUACCUUUUGCACACAAGAUUAUCCUGGCUGCUCGGCAAAUUCCUUUUUCUGCCUUUAUGAGCUACUUCGAAAGUCACCUCCUUUGCAAAGGCUUCUCUUCCUAUUCUUACUGGGAGUCCUUUUCCAGCGAAGCCGUGAAAAUUCGUACAUAUGCCUAUGACAAUGAUCAGCCUUGUGAGCGCCUCCGUGCUUUGUCCCCAGUGAACGCUAUGGCGGGUGGCCCGAGUAAUGGGAAGCCUGCAUUCUUCGGGAGUCCAAUUCAGCCAGAGCCGGCGUGACGUAAAUGUCGUUUUCAACUGUCACAAAGGGAUUGGGAUCCAUUUUCGAGAAUGUUACAGACUCGAAAUAAAAAUGGAGGACGGUGAUAAAAAAAAAAAA
rnacentral:tRNA from 1 species